rnacentral:rRNA from 1 species
UAUUGAACCUAGUGAUUAUGAGUUAGUGGCGGACGGGUGAGUAACGCCGUGGAAAACCUAGCCGUACGUACUAGGGGGAGUAACACUUAGAAAUAGGUGCUAAUACCGCAUAAGCGCACAGCUUCGCAUGAAGUGGUGUGAAAAACUCUGGUGGUUAUACGAUGGUUCCGCGUCUGAUUAGCUUGUUGGUGGGGUAAUGGCUCACCAAGGCGACGAUCAGUAGCCGGCCUGAGAGGGUGAACGGCCACACUUGGGACUGAGACACGGCCCAAACUCCUACGGGAGGCAGCAGUGGGGAAUAUUGCACAAUGGGGGAAACCCUGAUGCAGCGACGCCGCGUGAGUGAAGAAGUAUUUCGGUAUGUAAAGCUCUAUCAGCAGGGAAGAAAUAGCGACCUUUGGGUCGCCAGACGGUACCUGAUUAAGAAGCCCCGGCUAACUACGUG